rnacentral:rRNA from 1 species
ACUCCUACGGGAGGCAGCAGUGGGGAAUAUUGGACAAUGGGCGAAAGCCUGAUCCAGCAACGCCGCGUGAGGGAUGACGGCCUUCGGGUUGUAAACCUCUUUCAGCAGGGACGAAGCGAAAGUGACGGUACCUGCAGAAGAAGCACCGGCCAACUACGUGCCAGCAGCCGCGGUAAUACGUAGGGUGCGAGCGUUGUCCGGAAUUAUUGGGCGUAAAGGGCUCGUAGGCGGUCUGUUGCGUCGGGAGUGAAAACUCAGGGCUUAACCCUGAGCCUGCUUCCGAUACGGGCAGACUAGAGGUAUGCAGGGGAGAACGGAAUUCCUGGUGUAGCGGUGAAAUGCGCAGAUAUCAGGAGGAACACCGGUGGCGAAGGCGGUUCUCUGGGCAUUACCUGACGCUGAGGAGCGAAAGUGUGGGGAGCGAACAGGAUUAGAUACCCUGGUAG